rnacentral:lncRNA from 1 species
UCCUUAUUACACAUAUUUAACAAAUCAAUUUCAACAAUUAACAUCAAAUCAAAGGAUUUCGAAAAUUAGGGUUUUUAUACCUUUAUGCCUUGAUUUUUGAUUUUUGCUCUCCAAGUUGUUUGUGAUUGGAUUAUGGAGGAUGUGGGGCUUGAUAAAGGGACUGAUUUAGCAACAAAUUUCGUUGGUUUGAGAGAAAAUGAGAGUUGGUUGAGUAUUGAAUAAAAUUGGCUAACAAAAUCACUUUUUCUCUCUCUCAAUCCUUAUAUAGACAACAUGGAUGCAUGUAUUGGCUGAGAUUAGUAGCUUGUUGCUGUCAUUAGAAGUCAAGAGAGUUGUUGGAGUUAGUAUGAGUUGGUUAACAACUCAACCUAAAUGUCAAAACCUAAUAUUUAGCCUAAAUAAUACAACUAGGGGUAUAAUGGUCAUUUAGUUUGUAAUUUUAAGGGCAACCAUGUAAUCCUUGUAAACCCUUAGGGUUUAGGGUUUGAGCCAAGUUAGCAAAAUUCUAGGAUUUCCAAAAUUAGGAUUUAGCAACUAGGGUUUAUAAAGAAAAUAAAAUUAUUUUAGUUUCUAAAAUUUUGAAAAUAAUAACUUUGUUAAUUAAAGUAAGUUUGUAAUGACCUUAUACAUGGAUAUUAGGGUUUAUUACCCUUAAUCAUAAUUAACUUUGCUAAUAAAGCAAUUAGGGUUUAUAAUACCAAAAAUUAGGGUUUCCAUAAUAUAAUUAGGGUUUCUAGAAAUUAAUU